rnacentral:rRNA from 1 species
GUGCAGCAGUCGCGAAAACUCCGCAAUACGCGAAAGCGUGACGGGGCCAUCCCGAGUGCCGUCCGCUGAGGAUGGCUUUUCCCUAGUGUAGAUAGCUGGGGGAAUAAGGAGAGGGCAAGUCUGGUGUCAGCCGCCGCGGUAAUACCAGCUCUUCGAGUGGUAGGGAUGUUUAUUGGGCCUGAAGCAUCCGUAGCCGGCUGGACAAGUCCUCCGUUAAAUCCAGCGAUUCAAUCGUUGGAUUGCGAGGGAUACUGUUCGGCUAGGGGGUGAGAGAGGCCAACGGUAUUCCCGGGGUAGGGGUGAAAUCCUAUAAUCCCGGGAGGACCACCAGUGGCGAAGGCGGCCGACUAAAACGCGCCCGACGGUGAGGGACGAAAGCUGGGGGAGCGAACGGGAUUAGAUAUGAAGUUGAGUUUUUACCAGCUUCACUAGAUACCCCGGUAGUCC